AUGAGUUUCUACAGCCUCCAUGAGUCCCUCCAUAAGGAGAUCGCCAAAAUUCAGUCCCGAUUCUACUGGGCUGGCAAGCAUGGCAAGCAGAAGUAUCACAUGGUCAGCUGGCCUGACAUUUGCAAGCCCAGGGAGCAGGGUGGCCUGGGCAUCAUGUGCUCUAAAAGGAUGAAUAUUGCCCUUCUCUCCCGUUGGCUUUGGCGCAUCGCGCAGGGUCAAGGUGGCCUCUGGCUCGACAUUAUCCGGAAUAAAUACCUGCGGGGUCAACCCCUUGCCUUCUGCCAGAAAUCGGGCGGUUCUCAGUUCUGGCAGUCUAUUGUCCAGCUUCUCCCGGUGCUUCGCAUUGGAACCUCCAUUUCGGUGGGGUCCGACCUCUCGACGCUCUUCUGGUUUGAUCGCUGGGCCGGAGACUCUCCCUUUGCGGCCCGCUUCCCCACCCUCUUCUCUAUCUCCGUCGACCCCAUGAUUUCUGUCGAUAGGGCCCUUCUUGACUUAGGGCGCCUUGCUUUCCGUCGGCCCUUUGGACCGGCGGAAUCCGCCGCCUGA
rnacentral:rRNA from 1 species